GAUGAACGCUGGCGGCGUGCCUAAUACAUGCAAGUCGAGCGAAUGGAUUAAGAGCUUGCUCUUAUGAAGUUAGCGGCGGACGGGUGAGUAACACGUGGGUAACCUGCCCAUAAGACUGGGAUAACUCCGGGAAACCGGGGCUAAUACCGGAUAACAUUUUGAACCGCAUGGUUCGAAAUUGAAAGGCGGCUUCGGCUGUCACUUAUGGAUGGACCCGCGUCGCAUUAGCUAGUUGGUGAGGUAACGGCUCACCAAGGCAACGAUGCGUAGCCGACCUGAGAGGGUGAUCGGCCACACUGGGACUGAGACACGGCCCAGACUCCGACGGGAGGCAGCAGUAGGGAAUCUUCCGCAAUGGACGAAAGUCUGACGGAGCAACGCCGCGUGAGUGAUGAAGGCUUCGGGUCGUAAAACUCUGUUGUUAGGGAAGAACAAGUGCUAGUUGAAUAAGCUGGCACCUUGACGGUACCUAACCAGAAAGCCACGGCUAACUACGUGCCAGCCGCCGCUGUAA
rnacentral:rRNA from 1 species